rnacentral:rRNA from 1 species
CCCUUAGAUGUUCUGGGCCGCACGCGCGCUACACUGACGGGGACAACGAGUUUGCAACCUGCGCCGGUAGGUGUGGGUAAUCUUUUGAGCCCUCGUCGUGCUGGGGCUAGAUCUUUGUAAUUUUCGAUCUCAAACGAGGAAUUCCUAGUAAGCGUGAUUCAUCAGAUCGCGUUGAUUACGUCCCUGCCCUUUGUACACACCGCCCGUCGCUACUACCGAUUGAGUGAUCCGGUGAAUAAUUCGGACUGCAGCACUGCUUGGUCUCCAGGCUUUGCAGCGGAAAGUUUAGUGAACCUUAUCACUUAGAGGAAGGAGAANUCGUAACA